CAGUAGCCACGGUAAUACAGAGGGUGCGAGCGUUAAUCGGAUUUACUGGGCGUAAAGCGUGCGUAGGCGGCUUUUUAAGUCGGAUGUGAAAUCCCUGAGCUUAACUUAGGAAUUGCAUUCGAUACUGGGAAGCUAGAGUAUGGGAGAGGAUGGUAGAAUUCCAGGUGUAGCGGUGAAAUGCGUAGAGAUCUGGAGGAAUACCGAUGGCGAAGGCAGCCAUCUGGCCUAAUACUGACGCUGAGGUACGAAAGCAUGGGGAGCAAACAGGAUUAGAGACCCCGGUAGUCCCUGUCUCUUAUAC
rnacentral:rRNA from 1 species